ACAACGCCGUAGCAGCAGGCAACAGAAUUACAAAACUGAACAAAUAAAAAUGCCGAACUAAUGAACGUCGAAACUCGAAGCUGGAUAAGGCAAACACAGUUUACAAUGCCGAAGGAAUCGUUUAGAGUUUUCAUUGGGAAUCUUCCUUCAGAUUGCAGAAUCGGAGAUUUGGAGGAUUUUUUCAGG